CCUACGGGAGGCAGCAGUAGGGAAUAUUGCGCAAUGGGCGAAAGCCUGACGCAGCAACGCCGCGUGAAGGAGACGUUCUUUGGGGGGUAAAGUCCUAUUAGGGGGGACGAAAGAUGACGGUACCCACAGAGGAAGCACCGGCUAACUCCGUGCCAGCAGCCGCGGUAAUACGGAGGGUGCAAGCGUUGUCCGGAAUCAUUGGGCGUAAAGAGUUCGUAGGCGGUAUGUUAAGUCUGGUGUUAAAUGCAGAAGCUCAACUUCUGUUCGGCACUGGAUACUGGCAAACUAGAGUGCGGUAGAGGUAAAGGGAAUUCCUGGUGUAGCGGUGAAAUGCUUAGAUAUCAGGAGGAACAUCGGUGGCGUAGGCGCUUUACUGGGCCGUAAUUGACGCUGAGGAACGAAAGCCAGGGUAGCAAAUAGGAUUAGAUACCCUUGUAGUC
rnacentral:rRNA from 1 species